CCUACGGGUGGCUGCAGUGGGGAAUAUUGGACAAUGGGCGAAAGCCUGAUCCAGCCAUGCCGCGUGUGUGAAGAAGGCCUUCGGGUUGUAAAGCACUUUCAGUGGGGAAGAAAGCCUUGGGGCUAAUACCCUCGAGGAAGGACAUCACCGACAGAAGAAGCACCGGCUAACUCCGUGCCAGCAGCCGCGGUAAUACGGAGGGUGCGAGCGUUAAUCGGAAUUACUGGGCGUAAAGCGCGCGUAGGCGGUCUGAUAAGCCGGUUGUGAAAGCCCCGGGCUCAACCUGGGAACGGCAUCCGGAACUGUCAGGCUAGAGUGCAGGAGAGGAAGGUAGAAUUCCCGGUGUAGCGGUGAAAUGCGUAGAGAUCGGGAGGAAUACCAGUGGCGAAGGCGGCCUUCUGGACUGACACUGACGCUGAGGUGCGAAAGCGUGGGUAGCAAACAGGAUUAGAUACCCGAGUAGUC
rnacentral:rRNA from 1 species